rnacentral:rRNA from 1 species
CCUGCUCCAAGAUAAGGAUUCCUUGACGCUCCUCGGAGCGUCCGAAGCCCGCAUGUUGAACACGUGUUCGAUAGGCCGGAGGUGGAAGCCCCGCGAGGGAUGGAGCCGACCGGUACUAACGGGCGAACGCGGCACACUU